rnacentral:rRNA from 1 species
CUCUGCGAGAAGUCCAUUGAACCUUAUCAUUUAGAGGAAGGAGAAGUCGUAACAAGGUUUCCGUAGGUGAACCUGCGGAAGGAUCAUUGUCGAGACCGAAAGUAUAUCGAGCGAUUCGGAGAACCCGUGAAUAAAGCGGCGGCAGUUGCUGUCGCGGAACAUCCGUCACAAUCGUUGCCUCGCCUCUUUCGUGUGGGGGGGCGCGAUGAAGGCCGGGUGAAAAAACUCAAACCGACGCAGUUCCGCGUCAAGGGAAUAUUAAAAAGCACGAGCUCGAUAGUUCGGGCUCAGUGGCGUGGAGUGCUUUGCGCACACCAUAUGGAUUGAAACGACUCUCGGCAAUGGAUAUCUCGGCUCUCGCAUCGAUGAAGAGCGCAGCGAAAUGCGAUACGUGGUGCGAAUUGCAGAAUCCCGCGAACCAUCGAGUCUUUGAACGCAAGUUGCGCCCGAGGCCAACCGGCCAAGGGCACGUCUGCCUGGGCGUCAAGCGUUGCGUCGCUCCGUGCCAACUUCGAUCUCGCCAAUGGGCGUAUCGGGAGAGGCGCGGAUGCGGAGAGUGGCUCGUCGUGCCCAUCGGCGCGGCGGGCUGAAGAGCGGGUUAUCGUCUUCUCAUUUUGGCCACGAACAACAAUGGGUGGAUGAAAGCUGUGAGCAAGUCCUAUGUUGUCUCGUGCUGCCCCGAGCAAAAGACUAUAUAUAUAUACCUCUGAGGCGAGAUCCCAACCCAUGCGCCGAUCCACAUGCGGCGGCUUGGAAUGCGACCCCAGGAUGGGCGAGGCCACCCGCCGAGUUUAAGCAUAUCAA